AGUAGCGAACGGGUGAGUAACGCGUAGGAAUAUGCCCUAAAGCCUGGGAUAACUUGGGGAAACUCAAGCUAAUACCGGAUAAUAACUAAGGUUUAAAGCUGGGGACCAUUUAUGGCCUGGCACUUUAGGAUUAGCCUGCGUCCGAUUAGCUAGUUGGUGGGGUAAUGGCCUACCAAGGCGACGAUCGGUAGCUGUUCUGAGAGGAAGAUCAGCCACACUGGGACUGAGACACGGCCCAGACUCCUACGGGAGGCAGCAGUGGGGAAUAUUGGACAAUGGGGGCAACCCUGAUCCAGCAAUGCCGCGUGUGUGAAGAAGGCCUGAGGGUUGUAAAGCACUUUAGUUGGGGAGGAGGACUGCAAGGUUAAGAGCUGUGCAGUUGGACGUUACCCAAAGAAUAAGCACCGGCUAACUCCGUGCCAGCAGCCGCGGUAAUACGGAGGGUGCGAGCGUUAAUCGGAAUUACUGGGCGUAAAGGGUGCGUAGGUGGUUGAUUAAGUUAUCUGUGAAAUACCCGGGCUUAACCUGGGGGGGUCAGAUAAAACUGAUUAACUUGAGUAUGGUAGAGGGUAGUGGAAUUUCCGGUGUAGCGGUGAAAUGCGUA
rnacentral:rRNA from 1 species